UACGUAGGGUGCGAGCGUUUGUCCGGAAUUACUGGGCGUAAAGAGCUCGUAGGUGGUUUGUCGCGUUGUCCGUGAAAACUCACAACUCAAUUGUGGGCGUGCGGGCGAUACGGGCAGACUGGAGUACUGCAGGGGGAGACUGGAAUUCCUGGUGUAGCGGUGGAAUGCGCAGAUAUCAGGAGGAACACCGGAGUGGAAGGCGGGAUCUCUGGGCCGUGACUGACUCGUGAGGCACGAAAGCGUGGGGGAGCGAAACAGG
rnacentral:rRNA from 1 species